GCGGCUGCGCGCUCCCGCGGGAUCCGCUCCGUUCACUCCGAUGGCGGUGCGCGUUGGCGAGCAGCGACCGCAGCUAUACGGCUGGCAGGUAGGGAUGAGCAGGAGACCAGAGGAUGCAGGUAGAUAACGACCAGAGCAGGCGAUGUGGAAGGAGGAACCACCAGAAUGGGCAGAGCAAACGGUUGGAACUCAUGGGGAAACAGGCAGAACCGCAGCACGCAGACACAGGCAACUAACAGAAGAGUCCAGCUGGCUGAGCACACAGGAUCUGGUCCUCUUGAUUGGGGUUGAUGAGCUCCAGCAGUGAGGACACACCUGCCGGUCGCACCCCGCGAGCAGAGGAGAUCCCCAGAAGGUUUUUUGAGUACGGACAUCCAGUGCAUCUCGAUCAGAUUUUGGUUCAGAUCUUGACCAGACCAGUUCAGGACCUU